GACGAACGCUGGCGGCGUGCUUAACACAUGCAAGUCGAACGGAAAGGCCCUGCUUUUGUGGGGUGCUCGAGUGGCGAACGGGUGAGUAACACGUGAGUAACCUGCCCUUGACUUUGGGAUAACUUCAGGAAACUGGGGCUAAUACCGGAUAGGAGCUCCUGCUGCAUGGUGGGGGUUGGAAAGUUUCGGCGGUUGGGGAUGGACUCGCGGCUUAUCAGCUUGUUGGUGGGGUAGUGGCUUACCAAGGCUUUGACGGGUAGCCGGCCUGAGAGGGUGACCGGCCACAUUGGGACUGAGAUACGGCCCAGACUCCUACGGGAGGCAGCAGUGGGGAAUAUUGCACAAUGGGCGGAAGCCUGAUGCAGCAACGCCGCGUGCGGGAUGACGGCCUUCGGGUUGUAAACCGCUUUCGCCUGUGACGAAGCGUGAGUGACGGUAAUGGGUAAAGAAGCACCGGGUAACUACGUG
rnacentral:rRNA from 1 species